AUUUGUUGUGUUAGCCAUCUGGUGUAGCCGCUGGUAGGUAUGUUUUCUAGGUCUUCUGGCUGUUUGUGGUCGUCUCCCCGCGCCCCUGAUGUAGUUGUAGAUGCAGCGGUUGUUUCCCUUUGUCUCGUGUCCGCGGUUUGUCAGAGUUUUGUGGGAUUUUGUAGAUGCAGCGUGCGGGAUUCUGUAGAUGUACUUGUAGGUGCGGGAUUCCGCGGUUUGUUUCCUGCUCUCUCUCAUGUUCUAGUGCUUCCUGCUCAUAUAUAGUUAUUUUUAGUCCCUGAAUUAUCUCCUGAAGAUGUAGUUUUGAGAUGUAGGUGUGCAGUUUCCCUUGUGCCAUGUGUUUUUUACCCUAGGUUUUUGUCUAAUUUUGUCUUCAAGCGGGCAUGUAAUUUCAGUCUAAUUACAAUGUAAUUUGUCCCAGCCUUUUCAGUGUAAUUUACUCAGUACUUCAAUUGUAAUUUGUCAUGGGGUUUGAGUGGAUAUACAAUGUUAUUCUGAAUGUAAUUACAGUGUAAUUUAUCUCAGCAUUUCAAUGUAAUUGGUCCCAGCCUUACAGUUUACCCAAUGUUUCCAGUUUAAUUUGAGUCUAGUUACAGUGUAUUUUGUCCCAGUCUUACAGUGUAAUUUACUCAAUAUUUCAAGUGUAUUUUUUAGUCUAAUUAUAGUAUAAUUUGUCCUAGCCUUUCUGUGUAAUUUACUCAAAUUUUUACUGUAAUUUUUGUCGUAUGAUUUGAGUGGAUUUACAGUGUUGUUUGAAUGUAUUUACAGUGUAAUAUAUCCACAGUGUAAUUUAUCUCAGUACGCAAUGUUUCCGGUGUAAUUUGAGUCUAGUUAGUGUAUUUUGUCCCAGUCCUACAGUUACUCAAUUUUUCUAGUGUAAUUUUUGAGUCUAAUUACAGUGUAGUUCAACGCAAAAAAAAUUACAAUGUAAUUUGUCCCAGCUUUUCAGUGUAAUUUACUCAAUUUUUCGACUGCAAUUUUGUCGUAUGAUUUGAGUGGAUUUACAAUGUUGUUUGAAUAUAUUUAUAGUGUAAUUUA
rnacentral:lncRNA from 1 species